CCUAUUCUGCAAGCGCAGCGCUGCAAAAAGCCUGCGGCGCUCUGAGGCGCCUGGUCCUGGGGACCUCUUUCUCCCAGCCAAAAGCUACCUUCGACCCUUUUGAUUUGAUGUAGCAAAGAGUGUGUGUCCAGAUUAUCUGAAAUUGACACUGAAGAACCGUUCCCAGGAGCUCAGCUCCUGCCUUUGCAGGGAAAGUUUGCUAUUUUUGCAGGCGGUAGUUGAGGUUUAAUUACCCUUAAUUGCAUACAUUGUUUAUAGCGCUACGCAAUAAAUAAUUACCGAGACUACGGCCCUAGGUGACUGGAAUUUGGUGGUGAUACCAAUCACAGGAUCAGCCAGGAACGGGCCACCAGAGAGCACAUGCCACUUGCUGACAGGGAGCAAGGGACAUAAUCGUGUCUAGUUACUGGGUGUUAACCACAUUAUGCUGGUAACAGAAUUAGAGGUUGGAUGGCUGCCUUCUCCUAAAUGUGUCAGAAUAAGAAAAGGCAAGAUAAUAGGUGUCCAGAAACACUGCUUUAACACAUCAGAACAAAUAUUUGUUAGAAUCGGGGCCAGUUUCCUUUCUAGCGGCAGACAUAAACCAUCUAAAUAAUGAAAUGUAUUAGAGUAUUUGAAGGCUUACGAAGAAAAAAAGGCAGCAUCUUUUCAAGGUGACUAAGCCUUCCAUCCUU
rnacentral:lncRNA from 1 species